rnacentral:lncRNA from 1 species
AAAUGUUAAGAAAAUAUCUGAAAUGAAGGAAGGAGUGUAUUCAAUGUAUCACAUUUAAGUUAUAAUGAAUAAACCUUCACUUUUUCUAAUACACAGAUAAUUAAUCAUGACGUUCCUGAAAAAAAAUGAAAAGUACAAAUGUUAACUUUUGAAAAUUACACCUGUCCUUUUUUUGUUUCAGGAAGUGAUUUGGAUUAACGCAGAUGCAAAGGCUAAAAUAAUAAUAAUAAUAUUUUGCUUCACAAUAUAGAAGGAAUAAAGGAGAUAAAAAAUAAUCCUUUAUAAGGCAUGAAUCACCUGUGCUCUUUCACUGAGCUUCCAGAUUUCACAAGCUGAGGAAAGGCUGACAUUGCUGGACAAACAGAAAGAAGACCCCCUCAUUACGCUGCUUGGUUCCAGAGGACCCAAAGACAAGAUGAAGCCUCUGAUUUUGUUUGCAAUCAUUUUGAUCUUCACUGCUUACCCCACGUCUAGCCAUAGCUCUGAAAAGAAUUCUAAACCAUUUAAACAAAGAAGUCCUGGAAAGUCAAACUACGAACAGUUUACAACAUUGGAAACGGUUCCUGCAGUUACCCCUGGUCUCCUAGAUCUCGUCCGCCAUCAAAGCCCUCACCAACCAAACCUCCCACGUUGUCCAUCAUCUGGACCUACGCAACCACCUGAGAAUGAUGUAAACCCUAGUUCUCAAGCGCUGCUAGCUACCUCUGCUCCUGCAACUGUUGCGGCCACCACGGCCACUUCCAUUGCCUCUAUCAGGAAAACUACAGGUGCCACUUCCAACACCACAGCUCCCAGCAGGCUCCAAUCUGAGACUGUCACAAACACUGCAGCAGCUGAGUCUAACCCAGCUGAGGUGGCUGACACCACCCUUGCCAACCAGCAAGAAUAG